rnacentral:rRNA from 1 species
CACGUAGGGGGCGAGCGUUGUCCGGAUUUAUUGGGCGUAAAGAGCUCGUAGGCGGCUCGGUAAGUCGGGUGUGAAACCUCCAGGCUCAACCUGGAGACGCCACCCGAUACUGCCGUGGCUAGAGUCCGGUAGAGGAGCGUAGAAUUCCUGGUGUAGCGGUGAAAUGCGCAGAUAUCAGGAGGAAUACCCGUAGCGAAGGCGGCACUCUGGGCCGGUACUGACGCUGAGGAGCGAAAGCGUGGGGAGCAAACAGG